rnacentral:rRNA from 1 species
UACGUAGGGUGCAAGCGUUAAUCGGAAUUACUGGGCGUAAAGCGUGCGCAGGCGGUUUUGUAAGUCUGAUGUGAAAUCCCCGGGCUCAACCUGGGAAUUGCAUUGGAGACUGCAAGGCUAGAAUCUGGCAGAGGGGGGUAGAAUUUCGCGUGUAGCAGUGAAAUGCGUAGAGAUGUGGAGGAACACCGAUGGCGAAGGCAGCCCCCUGGGUCAAGAUUGACGCUCAUGCACGAAAGCGUGGGGAGCAAACAGG